rnacentral:rRNA from 1 species
AUACGUAGGGGGCGAGCGUUGUCCGGAAUGAUUGGGCGUAAAGGGCGCGUAGGCGGCGCGGUAAGUCUGGAGUGACAGUCCUGCUUUCAAGGUGGGAAUUGCUUUGGAUACUGCCGCGCUUGAGUGCAGGAGAGGUUAUCGGAAUUCCCGGUGUAGAGGGGAAAUGCGUAGAGAUUGGGAGGAACACCAGUGGCGAAGGCGACUUACUGGACUGUAACUGACGCUGAGGCGCGAAAGUGUGGGGAGCAAACAGGAUUAGAUACCCUGGUAGUCCACACUGUAAACGAUGAAUGCUAGUUGUAGGGGGUAUCGACCCCUUCUGUGCCGCAGUCAACACAAUAAGCAUUCCGCCUGGGGAGUACGGCCGCAAGGUUGAAACUCAAAGGAAUUGACGGGG